UACGGAGGAUGCAAGCGUUAUCCGGAAUGAUUGGGCGUAAAGCGUCCGCAGGUGGCUGUGUAAGUCUGCUGUUAAAGAGUGAGGCUCAACCUCAUAAAGGCAGUGGAAAUUACAUGGCUAGAGUGCGUUCGGGGCAGAGGGAAUUCCUGGUGUAGCGGUGAAAUGCGUAGAGAUCAGGAAGAACACCGGUGGCGAAAGCGCUCUGCUGGACCUUAACUGACACUGAGGGACGAAAGCUAGGGGAGCGAAUGGG
rnacentral:rRNA from 1 species